ACACGCAUGCCCAGUUCUUGCUCCGCCUGCCCAGGCAAGCCCGGGCUACACUGUAUAGCCACAGCGGACUCGAAAAGCACCCUGCAGUAUUUGUUUUUUGGUUGAAAAAGUUGGUGACCGAGCGGUGCAAGCGGUGGCGGACUUGGAUUUCAGUUGUUUGAGCAGUUGAAUGGGCCUAGGAUUGCAUCUUGUCUACCGAGUAGCUACAUGUAGCAGGUAGAGAACAUUUAUAUUUGCUGGGCCCCGUAGCAGACAUGAUAUCAACCAACAAAUGCCCCGGCUCCCGGAAUGGCUCCCUCUGCUAUGUGCUGUGGUGCAAGGCAGUAGUCAAGCGAAGUUCUUUUGUGUUCCGGCAGAACAGUCAUGGGCGUCUCCCAAGGGACACUCGCAGCGACCCUGUGGUUUUUCUGUUUGGCGAGCGCCAUCGCUACGGACAUCGACGAGAGGGAUGGCGGCUAUAUCAAUAUUUUGGUAUCAAUCGAGCCGGAGGUCCCACCGGACGAAAACAUUAUCCGCAACCUAAAGGCCCUCCUGGAAUCAUCAUCACGGUUCCUACACAGAGCAACAAACGGUCGAGUAUACUUCAAGUCAUUCGUCAUCGAGGUACCAAAAUAUUGGCCAAAAAGAAAAGUGGAUCGUCACCUAGGGGCAACGCAGUUCCUAAACAGCGAUGUGCGAAUCGUGAGUUCCAAGAGUUGCGGAUUCCAGGAGCCUUGCACGGUGACGUCACAAGGCUGCCAAGAAAAGGGAGAUUACGUAUUCAUUCCAGCGGAAUAUCUCCAACACCUGGGGCCCUUAACGGCGGAAACAAAUGAAAGUGCUGCGUAUACCUUCGUGCACGAGUGGGCGCACCUAAGGUAUGGUGUUUUUGACGAGUACGGUACCAGGGGAGACGAUUCCUUUCCAGAGACCUACUGCGUCGAUGGCCAGGUGAGCAGCAGGAUUUCAGCUUGUUUGUGGGCAAGGCUAGACACAUGGGCAUGUUGGUAACUUAUUAUGAAAACACGCCCUGUGCAGAAGACAGAGACAAAGACACCCACGGCAGUGUUUUAAACCUUUGUUUGUGGAGUUGCAUGCCACAAGAUGUCUCUCAGGUUUCAAAUAAUAUUAGAAUAAAGCUCUAAAUUAUCUUUGA